GAGGAAUAUUGGGCAAUGCCCGCAAGGGUGACCCAGCAACGCCGCGUGGAGGAUGAAUGCCGUAAGGUUGUAAACUCCUGUGAGAAGGGAAGAAUAACUAAGAGAAGAAAAAGCUCUUAGAAUGACUGUACCUUCAGAGGAAGCCCCGGCUAACUACGUGCCAGCAGCCGCGGUAAUACGUAGGGGGCAAGCGUUGUCCGGAUUUACUGGGUGUAAAGGGCGCGUAGGCGGAUUGAUAAGUCAGAGGUGAAAUCCUGCAGCUUAACUGCAGAACUGCCUUUGAUACUGUCAAUCUUGAAUUCGGAAGAGAGAAACGGAAUUCCAGGUGUAGUGGUGAAAUACGUAGAUAUCUGGAAGAACACCAGUAGCGAAGGCGGUUUCUUGGUCCGUAAUUGACGCUGAGGCGCGAAAGCGUGGGUAGCGAAC
rnacentral:rRNA from 1 species